rnacentral:rRNA from 1 species
UACGGAGGGUGCAAGCGUUAUCCGGAUUUACUGGGCUUAAAGGGUGCGCAGGCGGAUAUGUAAGUCAGUGGUGAAAUCUCUGGGCUUAACCCGGAAAUUGCCAUUGAUACUAUAUAUCUUGAAUGCUGUGGAGGUAAGCGGAAUAUGUCAUGUAGCGGUGAAAUGCUUAGAUAUGACAUAGAACACCAAUUGCGAAGGCAGCUAGCUACACAAAUAUUGACACUGAGGCACGAAAGCGUGGGGAUCAAACAGG